UACGGAGGGUGCAAGCGUUGCUCGGAAUUACUGGGCGUAAAGCGCACGUAGGCGGGUCGUUAAGUCAGGGGUGAAAUCCCAGAGCUCAACUCUGGAACUGCCUUUGAUACUGGCGACCUAGAGUUCGGAAGAGGUUAGUGGAAUUCCCAGUGUAGAGGUGAAAUUCGUAGAUAUUGGGAAGAACACCAGUGGCGAAGGCGGCUAACUGGUCCGAUACUGACGCUGAGGUGCGAAAGCGUGGGGAGCAAACAGG
rnacentral:rRNA from 1 species